rnacentral:rRNA from 1 species
UACGUAGGGGGCUAGCGUUGUUCGGAAUUACUGGGCGUAAAGCGCACGUAGGCGGUUUGUUAAGUCGGGGGUGAAAUCCUGAGGCUCAACCUCAGAACUGCCUUCGAUACUGGCGAUCUUGAGUCCGGAAGAGGUUGGUGGAACAGCUAGUGUAGAGGUGAAAUUCGUAGAUAUUAGCUAGAACACCAGUGGCGAAGGCGGCCAACUGGUCCGGAACUGACGCUGAGGUGCGAAAGCGUGGGGAGCAAACAGG